UACACACCGCCCGUCACACCACGAAAGUGGUCUUAACCAGAAGUGAGUGCGCUAACCUCGUGAGGCAGCUUACUAAGGUUGAGGCCGUGAUUGGGGUG
rnacentral:rRNA from 1 species